rnacentral:rRNA from 1 species
CCUACGGGUGGCAGCAGUGGGGAAUAUUGCACAAUGGGGGAAACCCUGAUGCAGCGACGCCGCGUGAGUGAAGACGUACCUCGGUGUGUAAAGCUCUAUCAGCAGGGAAGAAAAUGACGGUACCUGUGUAAUAAGCCCCGGCUAACUACGAGCCAGCAGCCGCGGUCAUCCGUAGGGGGCAAGCGUUAUCCGGAUUUCCUGGGGGUAAAGGGUGCGUAGUCGGCUAUGCAAGUCUGGUGUGAAAGUCGUGGGGCCAACCCCCGGACUGCUGUGGAAACUGUGUGGCUGGAGUGCAGGAGAGGUAAGCGGAAUUCGUGGUGUAGCGGUGAAAUGCGUAGAUAUUAGGAGGAACACCGGUGGCGAAGGCGGCUUACUGGACUGUAACUGACGUUGAGGCACGAAAGCGUGGGGAGCAAACAGGAUUAGAUACCCGUGUAGUC